GAGGGGGAUGGGAAAGACAGUAGAAUGAACAGGACAUCGCUUUCCUCUGUUCAUAUGUGAACACACAACCAGUGGAACUCCACAUCAUGGACAACCACAAGAAUGGGAUCCUAGUUAGAAUAAGUUGUACUGCACGUAUGUAUAAUAUGUCAAAAAACUCUACGGUCAUGUAUACCUAAGAAGAAAAAUUUAAAAAACCAUGAACAAUGGCCACACCUCUCCCCCCUUUCUAAUGAGAAAAACACACAGGCAGCGUGGAGAAGAGCUGGAGAACUAGCCCAUGGCCCUGGACCCAUCCCCAGCUCCCCCUGGGCCUCCGUUCCCCUGCUGGCAUUGAGCAGGGGAAGGUGAGGCAAAGAACCUCACCCCCCGCUGGUACAAAGACCUAUCCACAGGUGUGGCUGUAUGCUGGACCUGUAGUCAAUGACGGGUAAGAUCCAAUUGCAGUGGUACCAACCUAAGACAGGAGGCUGACGCCUUGAGGUCAGCUCAUCCGAUGACGGGUAAGAACCAUAUGUAGUAUUGGACAACCUAAGGCAGGCAUGGUCCCUAAGCCACAUGCUUGUUGUUUAAACAGAGAGGGGGAGAUGUUGAGAGCCACACCCAAAGGGGCCCCAGCAAACUUCCAGCUGCCAGCUGAUUGGCUCACAGAAGCCCCAGCAAACUUCUAGCUGCCAACUGAUUGGCUUCUCUGUGGUGAUGCUCAUUGGGCUGUUUCCCCGCCCGUUCAGACCAUGGAGCUGCUCAUUGGGGGACUUUUUUGGCUCCGCCCACACGACCCAGCCAAUCGGCCUCAAGAGCAGGAGGGGUAGGGGAAGUUGAGAGGCUUGUGGGAAGCCGGUUGUGGCAGUUGGGCUCUGAGGGUUUUCCUGAAGAGCUGUGUGGUGCGGUGUGUGUGUUCUAAAAAUAAAGUUUGUUUCCUUUGACAAGUGGCUCCUGAAUUGUGCCCAGCCAGACUGCGGCACCAAGCAUCCCUGAGCUGCGCUCACCUGCGUUUGGAUGACCCUCAAUACAAAGGCCCCAGUUGGCUUCCCUCCAAGCCCCACUUCUGCCUUCUGGAGUUCUGAUCCUCCAUGUCUGCUCAAGGUGGGGGGACCUCUGCCCACCCCCUUGGGUUAUAUGGUCGGCUGAUACAUGGCCCUGGAGAGAUGCCCACAUCCUGCUCCCCAGAACCUGA
rnacentral:lncRNA from 1 species